UUACAGGCUACCCGCAACGAUUACCCGUUAACCUGGUCAGGUCCGGAAGGAAGCAGCCAUAGCGGGGACAUUGUGUGCCGGGGUGUGGCUGGCGGGG
rnacentral:SRP_RNA from 1 species